AGCCAGCUCUCUUUUAUUUUCCUCCAUCCACCCACUCAUCCAUCCAUCCUCACACUUACUGAGUUCCCUACUAGUGUACAGGCCCCACGCUGGGCUUUGGGCCUACGGUGAUGAGUGACACGGACACACCUGCCCGGAAGAACUGACAGUCUAUCCGGGAAGACAACAAACAAGGGAACGGGUGGUUACCAAGCUCGGAGACACCCUAGGGAAUGAGACUGAGGAGAAGGUGCCCUUUGAUAAGGGAGAGUCGCGUCAAUGAGCUACAGGUGAGUUAGCAGAGCACCCCGGGAGGGUCUGGGCACAGAAGGCCUGAGCCCAGUUCUGAGGUGGGAAGGGCUGCGGAGGCCGGUGUGGAAGGAGCAGAGUGACGGCGUGGGGAGGAGCGUCCAGGGAUGACACCCAGCAGUGUGCGGGACCAGACGCACAGGGCCUGGAGGGAAGAGCAAGCGUGACAGGGGCCGGCGACGUCCUGUGCGGGCAGUGACGUGAGCUGACCUGCGCUCUGCGCCGCUCCCGCCCCUCCGCAGCCCGGCUGCACUUGGGGCUGCGCGCGUUCUAACCGCCUUCGAGGGCGGCGCUGGAAAGGGUGCUAACCGUCUUAGCAGAUGCUGUGAAACCCAGGAUCCCUGCCAAGAGCAGCAGCCAGAGAGCAAAGCCCCACAGGACAGGGAGCCCUGGUGCAGAGAUGAUCUGCUUGGUUCCAGUGAGGAUCCUGACCUAUGGUUCGAUGGCUCUGGAUGCAAGUGACUCUAAUCCUAGCAGCCGGGCCCGAUGCUGGGAGACCUGAAUUCUGAGCAUGGAGGGACUCGAAAGUCCACAACAGUUGGGACCCAGCCUCACCUUGGCCAAGCAGAAAACCUUCCUAGCUGUGUGACCUUGGACAACUUAAGUAAUUUCUCUGAAGUCAGGAUCUUUACGACAUUUAGGCACCUGGAAAUCAUCAUCAGAAAGCAGAAGUCCUCUGUAUUAAAACCUGCAUGGUAGUCAGGGCUGAAUGCAGAGUAUUUGAAAUCUCCCUGCGCGUCUUCCCUCAAACCAGUUUGCCUCUAUGUGUUCCUUCUCCAGUAAGCUGUGAAAUAAAAGGUUUCCUUGUAGUGCUUUCAUAUACUACUCACUGCAGUUUAAUAUAUGAGACACUGCAUCAUAGUCGGGAGGUUCAAAAUUACCUCGAAGUAAUCAUUUCCUAGAGGGCUGGUAGUAAACAUUCUGUCACACAGCUAUAGAUUUUUGCCUGUCUCUAUCAAUCAGCCCCCUGGGAGAUGUUAGGGGAAACGCUCUGGGUACGAAUUGCGAACUAGUGAGUGU
rnacentral:lncRNA from 1 species